rnacentral:lncRNA from 1 species
AAUAACGUCCUGCAUGCUUAUAGAAUUUAAAUUUAUCACUGCAGGGGGUGAAUUUUAAAUGCAAAAGUUAUAAACUGUAAGAAUUAUAAUUUGAAAACCUUAUUCUGAAGAAGAGUAAAAUUCUAAAUUGAGAAUAUACCACAACUAUUGUUAAAGCAUCAUGGGUCAAUUUUGCCUUUGAAAUGUUUUCAAUUUUUAUUUUUAUUUCUUUUUUUACUUUUGUGGUUCUUUAUUUGAGCAUUUCUCUAAGAAUUCCUAAAUUGUGUAUAUAUAUCAGUCAAGGGACGAUAGUAUUUCAGCAGCAGACUCCGCUCUAAGGUGGACCCCCCCUCCUCAACAGAAGUAAUUUUCUAAUACACCAUUAAAAGACCAGCAUAGAGUACCGGUAUGAAAAAUAGAGAUGAGUAAUGAAUUGAAGUAAGAGUUUAAUCUACAGUGUUCCUUGGCUAUGCUUAUAUACUCAUUUGAGGUUUUGUUGUUGUUGUUUUUACUUUUAGUGAAAUCUUAGUUUGUACAUAACUUUUUCGAUUGAAUAAUUACCACGUUUCACACAUGUUGGUUCAAAAGCUGUUCAACUUGCCGAUAACAUUUUGUUUUCAGUAAAGAGAAGCAUAGAAAGAAAUAUUUUUGUUCCCACUCUAAUGGUGAAGACCUUUUCUUACUCUGUGUGUUUGGAUUAUUUCUCCUCCACUAGCUUUUUGGCAAUAAAAAUAUCUGCCUAGUCGUCAGAGGUGGUCUGUAAAAGUUGAAACCUGAAUUGUAAAUGAUCUUUUGAAACAACAUUUACAAACCCUGACAAGAUGUUUAAGAUGAUCUAAUCCCUUUCUGGUGCUUUUCCAUAUUUGAAAUUCUACUUCUGUUUACUCAAAGCUGAAAUUCAUUGUUGUCAUCUGAAAUUCGAUUUCCCUUCUUACUUGGCAUCCAGGGGAUUGAACCCACGUCCUCAUGGAGGCUAGUUGGGUUCAUUACCGCUGAGCUACAAUGGGAACUCCCUGUGCUGGGGAUUUUUUUUUUUUUUUUUGAUGGGCCCAUUUUAAAAAGAACAAGAGAAAACUGACACACAUACACGUGAGGGAGACCUAGAUGGAAAUGUUCACAGAUCAUGGACCAAAGGAUGCUAUUCGGCUGGGAAGACCUACGCUCUGGUUGCAGAGGCCCAGACUACGUCAUUGUGUGGGCGUUACAGAGAGGCAGGGUUUGGGCUCAGCUGUUGAACAGUUUCCUGGGCAGCUUGGAAAAAUGUCUGACAUAUCCGAGUUGGCGAGAGGAGGCGUCCCGUCUGUAAUGCCAUCAGUGGGGGUCUGGUCUACACUGGAUGCUAAGUCAGGAAGACCUUUAGGUCCUCUUCCAACUCCAAACUUUCAGAGCUCUCUAGAUAUGUUCCUCCCUUCAUUUAUUCAACACAUGUUUUUUGAGCACCUAAUAUGUUUGCCAAAACGAGAUUAAGUUCUGGGGAUGCAGCAGGGCAUAAAAUGGUUUCUGCCCACUGAAUGUUUAGAGCCAGUGAAAAAAUGGAUUAAUGUAUUAAUAACAUCAGGUAAUGAUAAGCAAUAUGAAUGAAAAUGAAGCAGAGUAAGAAGUGCUGUGGUAUGCAAGGAGUUCAGGGAAGACCGUGAGAUGACCUUUGAUGAGGGGUCUAGGAAAUGAGGAUUUAUGGGUCGGGGUGGCGAAGGCUGUGGGCAGGAGGGACCAGCCAGGAAAGAGGAGGAAGAACGAGCACGCAGACGCUGGGGUGCAGGUUCAUUGGAGGGCCUGGAUAUGAAUGAGUGAUGCAUCAUUUCGGAAGCUUUCAUCCUGUUCUAGCUACUCCAUUAGGGAAAUAAUCCGUUCAGAGCUGACUGCUCUAUGCUCGGGGUGUCCACCUUGGUCCAAAUGCACGCGCCUCUACGGAAAGGUACAAACAAACUCACACCUGGAACUGGACGGCCAGCCCUAGACUAUUUGCCUCCUUAAACUUGAGCAGCAAAAGUACCGUUAGGCACUUUGGAGGAAUAAUACCUUUAGCUGAAGUCACUCUUGGAGCUGCUCCUUUUUAAACUAGGAGAAUUUGGAGUUCCGUCGUGGCGCAGUGGAAACGAAUCCGACUAGGAACCAUGAGGUUGCGGGGUCAAUCUCUGGCCUUGCUCAGUGGCUUCAGGAUCUGGCAUUGCCAUGAGCAGUGGUGUAGGUCGCAGACGCGGCUCAGAUCUGACGUUGCUGUGGCUGUGGUGUAGGCCAGUGGCUACACCUCCGAUUAGACCCCUAGCCUGGGAACCUCCAUAUGCCAUGGGUGCGGCCCUACAAGUACAAAAAUAAAUAAACAAACAAACUAGGAUGUUUCAUUAGGACAACAUCCCUUUUUGGCUACACUUCAAUAUCUCUCAUUCUUAGCCUUAGACAUUUCAACAAACAAAAAAUCCCUGUCCUAGAACCUUGGAAAUGUGUGAGUUGAUAUAAACUUCAAGUUUUCAAGAAAAUAAUACAGACAGUUGAAGAGGAAGUGGAGGCUCUGCAGAGUGGGUGGGGGUGUGGUCAGGGAAAUGUGAUGGACCAGAGCUCCUUGGGUUUUCUGCAUCUGUGCCAGAUGCCCCUGUGGUUCUUCAGACAACCCUUGUCGGCAUCCUCGUGCAUUUCUGUUCUUCCAGCUUGUGGGUGUCUCGUGGGGGACCUGACUCUCUGUAGCUCUCAGUGUGUCCUUGGCACAAGGUGGGAUUGUGUCAAACAGUGCCUGAUUCCGAGGGCAUAGAGCAUCUCAACAACAACGUCCGUUUGGAGCCCCUCUGGGGGACAGGGCAUGCUUGGGCUAAGAGAAUUGCUGUGUCUCCCAAACCCAGCUCACUCCCACUUUCCACCUUCUGACAGCUGAAAGUUUUAAGAUUCUCUUUUUAGCCCAAUUCUUCAAAAAUAAAUGAGGCGUGCCGUCGUGUUACAGAAGCAAGCUCCCUACCUUGGCUGGCAGGGCCAGUGAGCAUGUGCAGGAUGGGGAGUCGGGGGAGGGGGACUGUGAUGCUGUGAGAGGGGGCUGCUCCAACAACAGUUUUCUCAGGCUCCCCCUCCUCAAAACGACGGGGUCAAAUUGGAGCUCUUGCUCUGCAUGUUUUUGAUUUCCAAGUGUUCUGUUCAUAAAAUAUUUGGUUCUCAGAGCUGCUGAUGGGUGAUCAUGGCAAAAAUGAAACUGAUUUGGAUUUGAAUUUCGUUAUCAGCUUAUUGGAGUCAUGAAAAAAGAGGCACAGGAUUGGCCCUGUGGUCUGGGCUUCUUCAAGGUUUCCUCGCAAGGGACAGGGUGCCGCUCCUGCUCUGCAGGGCUGAUGUGAAUAACCAGUGAACUCGCUGAUGCAGUUUUCUUUCUCCUUCUGGGUAAUUAUAAUAAUUUCAGAGGCGCAGAUGCUUGGGAAAUGGAAGUCACAGUUUAUAGGGGGGUUACGGAGAGUUGACCCUCAGAGGGGAGCCCUUUCUUUUUUUUCUCUUGAGUGAUAGCUUCUUUAAAUUCCAUAGUGCUUUUCACUUUUCAGAAGUUCCACACACACGAGUUCAUAUAAUUGCAUAAUAACCUCUUUCCCCGCUCAGCCCUCAAAAGAGGGCCCUUUCUUAUGGCAAUAGUAAACACGGAGGGUCUGAAAUGCUCCCUCUGCGUAAUCCUGUGACUAAUUUACAGAGUGGAGACACUGCUUUAUCAGUGAGCACACCAGUUCGUGUGUGUGCCUGUCUGUCAUCGCAUCCAAGUUCUUCCUUGGGGAUGAGGUACCCUCUGAACCCCACAUGGGCCAGUUGGGGCUUUGCUUUGAUUGAAGCAGAAGAAGAGAUGACACUUAGGUGUCUGCCACAGCAGCUUUAUUCAAGCACAUGGGGCUCCGGCCUCUCUGGGGUGCAAGGCUAACGUGGGAAGAAGGGCUCCCUGACACCUGGCAGAUUACAGUUGGUGAGAACAGGUCUCAUUUAGCCGACGGACGUAAGGCAGGCAGUCCCCAUUCUCCUGCCAGGGCCUGAACAAGCACAGGUUUGAUAGCAGCAAUAGUCACGGCAGCAGCUAAUAUUUACUGACCACCUGCCAGACACUGUAUUUUUCCCAUUUGUCCUGAUCACAACCCUGUGAGACAGAGUCCAUGAUUAUCCCCGGGAAACCAAAGCCCGAUGAUUUGCUCAACAUCCCACAACAGCGUGUGUGUCCCCAUAAACACAGGAAAAGUCCUCUUUUCUCUCCUAAUAAGGCCUCCGUGAACCCUCCCUGAGCCCACCCACCUCCCCUGUUCACCCAGACAUCCAUCAUCCGUUCACAGGUGAGGUACCCUCUGAACCCCACACUGGCCGGUUGGGCCUUUGCUUUGAUUGAGGCAGAUGAAGGGACGACACUUGGGUGUCUGCCAGAGCAGCUUUGCUCGAGCACAUGGGGCUCCAGCCUGUCUGAGCCCCAUGCAUUAAGGAUACAUGAAGAGCAUCCUGUGAUGUGUUCCUGGUAGGUUUGGCUGUGUCCUGUUUCCCACCAUGGAGACUGAACUCCCAGGGGUCAGGGUCCAUGAAGUGGUCCUUCCUAGCUCUCCAUCAUGUGACUCAGGGAGUGUGCCCUGAUGGGUCUUGGCCAAGGCAAGGGAUGGCAUCUGCUUGGGCAGUGUCACCAGGCAGGUGUCAAUGGGGAUGACUUCUGAGUGCACACUCCUCUUGUCAGGGAGAUUGAUCAUCCAGCCUCUGUGCCCAGGAGAUGUUUUAUGCAGGAAGGAAAACAGGCCUGGAGAUGACACGGGGCUCAGACACUCUGCAACGAGCAGGGGUGAGAGUUGGCCAUGUGAUAGGAGAAGAAUCCAAAAUCUGCUAAUUAGUGAAUCAUUCAAAGAGAACAAGCAGCCUGGGGUCAGUUAGCCUAGGAACGGGCCACCCUCAGGCUUUUGCAGGCCCUGAAGACUUCAUUGUGUGGCAGCAUUUGUUAAUUUAUCAAACACAUGUGCACAUAGGUGCACACACAUACAACAUGUAUAAAACUACGUUGUAUUUUUAGGCACUGUUUAAUCACUCUACUGUUAUUAACUUGCUUAAUCUUCAGCCACCAUGAAGAUAGAUACUGUUGUUACCUUGGUUUUACAGAUGGGGAAACAGUCUCAGAGAGGUAACUGGAUCAAGAUCUCAGAGCCAGGAUGACCACCCAGGAGGGCGGCACAGUCUUUCAUUAUGAUGGCGCUUAAAUAUUAAGAGAAUGUGAGCUACUUCCAGUAUCAGAUACUGUGACAAAGAAACAUGUGACAUAUUUGAGAAAGAGGUUUAUGAAAAAUUAUUUUUUUUUAUGCCUUAGAUAUUUUAGGGAUAAGUCCCAGUUAUUUAGAAAAUUCUGUUUUCUCCCUCCACUCCCCCAAGUUAAAACAUGUAGUGUGUAUUUUAAACGAACAAGAUCAAAGGACAUAAAUAGUCUGAAUACGUGACUUUAUACGAAGCCCUCAUAUGUGACAUUGUGACGCAGACAGGCUGGGGACUUUUAGUCCGGUACUCUCUGCGCGGGAUUGCUUUGACCAGGACAGCCCAGCAGCGUCAGAUAGGGAGCUUAGAUCCCAGACCUAAACAUGCCUUCGUAGAAUGUAUAACCUGCUGGCGAGGAUAAAACACAUUCACAAGUACUGACUGGAUACAGUUCUUAAGACUUCAAGUAACCUGUUUUGUUAGGAAAUGCAUUAAAAGCAUUUUGCGCCUGCCUUGUGCCUCUUGCAUAUACCAAACAUACGCCUAGAUAUUCUAGACACAUUCAUCGAAUCCUCGUUUGCUUGUUUGUAUUGUUUUUGAUUUGUUUUGGGCGGCGCCCACAGCAUGCAAAAGUUCCCAGGCCAAGAACUGAACCCCUGCCACAGCAGUGACCCAAGCUGCUGCAGUGACAAUGCCAGAACCUUAACCUACUGUGUCACAAGAGAACUUCUGGUUUGUUUUUACAAUCCCUGUUGUAAUUUCAAGGAGAGGAAAACUAAGACACCCGUAAGUUCUAUCAUCCUCCGCUGUUAACAGUCUGUGUUCCAGACGUGGAAGCGUCGCUGUGGAAUGUGAGCAGCCCUGGCCCCAGUAGAAAGAGGCUUGUUCAUGCUUCAGUCCCCUUUCUCUCGUUCAUGACAAAUUGGUCCCCUGACUGCAACAUCCAUUUGGUACUUACUUGGUGAAAGGCUGAGUCUUCUAUGUGCUGAGUAUAAUAUAAAUUCCUACCAAUACAAAAUCAGGGUUACUGGGGGCUGGGUCAAACUUCCGUGCCUUGAGGUAUAUCGGUAGAGUUUAUAAAUCAGCCGACACGUGUUUAUGACUUAUCUGGUGCGCAGUUGUCACGGAUGGAGCCUGGCUUCUGCUGUAGGGAGAGACAUGCUGAGAGAAAACUGAUGGCCAGGAACUGUCUCAAGCUCUGCUUUGGAUUUCUCACUCACAUCUUAUUCUUUUCUUUUCCCCUUAAGGGUCGAGAUUACUGUUCCGAAGAAGAGGAUAUCACAUAGCACCAAUUCUACCACUUAAACCGGGAGCUACUACUGUGUAAAUAGGUUACACCCCAGUUGAAAUCUUUGCAAAGGUCGGUUCUCUUCAGCGAACAGCACUAUAGCAAAAGAAGAUCGUUUCAUAUCGUAUGCCCCAUUAAAUUACAGUGUUUCUUAAUGAACUUGCAAAGGAAUAUUGCUAAAAAAAAAAAAACAAAAAACAAAAAA